rnacentral:rRNA from 1 species
GGGUUGUGAGGUUAAGCGACUAAGCGUACACGGUGGAUGCCCUGGCAGUCAGAGGCGAUGAAGGACGUGCUAAUCUGCGAAAAGCGUCGGUAAGGUGAUAUGAACCGUUAUAACCGGCGAUGUCCGAAUGGGGAAACCCAGUGCAAUUCGUUGCACUAUCGUUAACUGAAUACAUAGGUUAACGAGGCGAACCGGGGGAACUGAAACAUCUAAGUACCCCGAGGAAAAGAAAUCAACCGAGAUUCCCCCAGUAGCGGCGAGCGAACGGGGAGCAGCCCAGAGUCUGAAUCAGCUUGUGUGUUAGUGGAACGGUCUGGAAAGUCCGACGGUACAGGGUGAUAGUCCCGUACACCAAAAUGCACAGGUUGUGAACUCGAAGAGUAGGGCGGGACACGUGGUAUCCUGUCUGAAUAUGGGGGGACCAUCCUCCAAGGCUAAAUACUCCUGACUGACCGAUAGUGAACCAGUACCGUGAGGGAAAGGCGAAAAGAACCCCGGCGAGGGGAGUGAAAAAGAACCUGAAACCGUGUACGUACAAGCAGUGGGAGCACCUUCGGGUGUGACUGCGUACCUUUUGUAUAAUGGGUCAGCGACUUAUAUUCUGUAGCAAGGUUAACCGUAUAGGGGAGCCGCAGGGAAACCGAGUCUUAACUGGGCGUUAAGUUGCAGGGUAUAGACCCGAAACCCGGUGAUCUAGCCAUGGGCAGGUUGAAGGUUGGGUAACACUAACUGGAGGACCGAACCGACUAAUGUUGAAAAAUUAGCGGAUGACUUGUGGCUGGGGGUGAAAGGCCAAUCAAACCGGGAGAUAGCUGGUUCUCCCCGAAAGCUAUUUAGGUAGCGCCUCGUGAAUUCAUCUUCGGGGGUAGAGCACUGUUUCGGCUAGGGGGUCAUCCCGACUUACCAACCCGAUGCAAACUACGAAUACCGAAGAAUGUUAUCACGGGAGACACACGGCGGGUGCUAACGUCCGUCGUGAAGAGGGAAACAACCCAGACCGCCAGCUAAGGUCCCAAAGUCAUGGUUAAGUGGGAAACGAUGUGGGAAGGCACAGACAGCCAGGAUGUUGGCUUAGAAGCAGCCAUCAUUUAAAGAAAGCGUAAUAGCUCACUGGUCGAGUCGGCCUGCGCGGAAGAUGUAACGGGGCUAAACCAUGCACCGAAGCUGCGGCAGCGACACUAUGUGUUGUUGGGUAGGGAGCGUUCUGUAAGCCUGCGAAGGUGACCUGUGAGGUUGCUGGAGGUAUCAGAAGUGCGAAUGCUGACAUAAGUAACGAUAAAGCGGGUGAAAAGCCCGCUCGCCGGAAGACCAAGGGUUCCUGUCCAACGUUAAUCGGGGCAGGGUGAGUCGACCCCUAAGGCGAGGCCGAAAGGCGUAGUCGAUGGGAAACAGGUUAAUAUUCCUGUACUUGGUGUUACUGCGAAGGGGGGACGGAGAAGGCUAUGUUAGCCGGGCGACGGUUGUCCCGGUUUAAGCAUGUAGGCUGAUUGUCCAGGCAAAUCCGGUAACUUUCAAGGCUGAGGUGUGAUGACGAGGCACUACGGUGCUGAAGUAACAAAUGCCCUGCUUCCAGGAAAAGCCUCUAAGCAUCAGGUAACAUCAAAUCGUACCCCAAACCGACACAGGUGGUCAGGUAGAGAAUACCAAGGCGCUUGAGAGAACUCGGGUGAAGGAACUAGGCAAAAUGGUGCCGUAACUUCGGGAGAAGGCACGCUGGUGUGUAGGUGAAGUCCCUGCGGAUGGAGCUGAGACCAGUCGAAGAUACCAGCUGGCUGCAACUGUUUAUUAAAACACAGCACUGUGCAAACACGAAAGUGGACGUAUACGGUGUGACGCCUGCCCGGUGCCGGAAGGUUAAUUGAUGGGGUUAUCCGUAAGGAGAAGCUCUUGAUCGAAGCCCCGGUAAACGGCGGCCGUAACUAUAACGGUCCUAAGGUAGCGAAAUUCCUUGUCGGGUAAGUUCCGACCUGCACGAAUGGCGUAAUGAUGGCGGGCUGUCUCCACCCGAGACUCAGUGAAAUUGAACUCGCUGUGAAGAUGCAGUGUACCCGCGGCAAGACGGAAAGACCCCGUGAACCUUUACUAUAGCUUGACACUGAACAUUGAGCCUUGAUGUGUAGGAUAGGUGGGAGGCUUUGAAGCGUGGACGCCAGUCUGCGUGGAGCCAACCUUGAAAUACCACCCUUUAAUGUUUGAUGUUCUAACGUUGGCCCCUUACCGGGGUUGCGGACAGUGUCUGGUGGGUAGUUUGACUGGGGCGGUCUCCUCCCAAAGCGUAACGGAGGAGCACGAAGGUUAGCUAAUCCUGGUCGGACAUCAGGAGGUUAGUGCAAUGGCAUAAGCUAGCUUGACUGCGAGCGUGACGGCGCGAGCAGGUGCGAAAGCAGGUCAUAGUGAUCCGGUGGUUCUGAAUGGAAGGGCCAUCGCUCAACGGAUAAAAGGUACUCCGGGGAUAACAGGCUGAUACCGCCCAAGAGUUCAUAUCGACGGCGGUGUUUGGCACCUCGAUGUCGGCUCAUCACAUCCUGGGGCUGAAGUAGGUCCCAAGGGUAUGGCUGUUCGCCAUUUAAAGUGGUACGCGAGCUGGGUUUAGAACGUCGUGAGACAGUUCGGUCCCUAUCUGCCGUGGGCGCUGGAGAAUUGAGGGGGGCUGCUCCUAGUACGAGAGGACCGGAGUGGACGCAUCACUGGUGUUCGGGUUGUCAUGCCAAUGGCACUGCCCGGUAGCUAAAUGCGGAAGAGAUAAGUGCUGAAAGCAUCUAAGCACGAAACUUGCCCCGAGAUGAGUUCUCCCUGAGACUUUAAGUCUCCUGAAGGAACGUUGAAGACGACGACGUUGAUAGGCCGGGUGUGUAAGCGCAGCGAUGCGUUGAGCUAACCGGUACUAAUGAACCGUGAGGCUUAACCUUACAACGCCGAAG